rnacentral:rRNA from 1 species
UACAGAGGGGGCUAGCGUUGUUCGGAAUUACUGGGCGUAAAGGGCGCGUAGGUGGCCUGUUAAGUCGAACGUGAAAUCCCCGGGCUCAACCCGGGAACUGCGUCCGAGACUGGCAGGCUCGAAUCCGGGAGAGGGAUGUGGAAUUCCAGGUGUAGCGGUGAAAUGCGUAGAUAUCUGGAGGAACACCGGAGGCGAAGGCGGCUUGCUGGGCGUGAUCUGACGCUGAGGCGCGAAAGCGUGGGGAGCGAACAGG